rnacentral:rRNA from 1 species
UACGGGGGGGGCAAGCGUUGUUCGGAAUUACUGGGCGUAAAGGGCUCGUAGGCGGCCAACUAAGUCAGACGUGAAAUCCCUCGGCUUAACCGGGGAACUGCAUCUGAUACUGGAUGGCUUGAGAUAGGGAGAGGGAUGCGGAAUUCCAGGUGUAGCGGUGAAAUGCGUAGAUAUCUGGAAGAACACCGGUGGCGAAGGCGGCAUCCUGGACCAGCACUGACGCUGAGGAGCGAAAGCCAGGGGAGCAAACGGG